GAUGAACGCUGGCGGCGUGCCUAAUACAUGCAAGUCGAGCGAACAGAUAAGGAGCUUGCUCCUUUGACGUUAGCGGCGGACGGGUGAGUAACACGUGGGUAACCUACCUAUAAGACUGGGAUAACUUCGGGAAACCGGAGCUAAUACCGGAUAACAUUUGGAACCGCAUGGUUCUAAAGUGAAAGAUGGUUUUGCUAUCACUUAUAGAUGGACCCGCGCCGUAUUAGCUAGUUGGUAAGGUAACGGCUUACCAAGGCGACGAUACGUAGCCGACCUGAGAGGGUGAUCGGCCACACUGGAACUGAGACACGGUCCAGACUCCUACGGGAGGCAGCAGUAGGGAAUCUUACGCAAUGGGCGAAAGCCUGACGGAGCAACGCCGCGUGAGGGAUGAAGGGUUUCGGCUCGUAAAACUCUGUUAUUAGGGAAGAACAAACGUGUAAGUAACUGUGCACGUCUUGACGGUACCUAAUCAGAAAGCCACGGCUAACUACGUG
rnacentral:rRNA from 1 species